rnacentral:lncRNA from 10 species
CCAACUCGAGGAGUCUGGGUGGCUGGAGCUCUGCACUGGUCACCUUUGGGGUGAGUAGCCUGGCCCCAAAGUGACAUACAAACAUCAUUUUCUGUGUGUGUCACAGCCUGGAGAAAGGUGAGAAGUCCCAGAUGAUAUCAGUCUAAGAGUUUUGUACUUGACAGAAAAAGAGAACAAAGAGCCAGUCUGGAGGAAAUCAGCAAGUGCCUUACAUUUUUUUCCCAAGCUAGGCUUGGUGGCUCAUGCCUAUAAUCCCAGCACUUUGGGAAGCCAACGUGGAAAGAUAGCUUGAGGCCGGGAGUUUGUGUGCUGAGAAACUGCUUUGAUGCACAAAGACCAUGAACCAGGGAGCCCCACCCUGUUUUUACAGAAAGGGAUGAUCCCUUAGGAUUUAACCCCAUAAGAUUAAUUUUCCCCAUAGGAAACUGUUAACAGGUAUAGAAAUAAGUUUUGUAAUCAUUGUACUGUUUGAAAGUCUUAGGAGAGGCUAGCUUACUAGAUUUAUAUGUCUUGAUUUAUCAGAUUUGUAGAAGUUCAAAAGUCUACUAAGGUUUGUGCAAUUUGUAAGUUUGCAUAAAGCAUUAAAAAAUUAGACAUAUUAAAAUAUGUCAUCAACACUUAAAUAAGAAAAAAUAAUUUCUUUGCCCUGUAA